AGAAUAAACAAGAAGACAAAAAAAGAAAGAUGCCAAUUAGAAGAACACAGGCGUCCGUCUACUUCAGUCUCCUCAAAUGGUGACCCCGACAUGAUUGCGGGCCGAGAAAACGCUGGAAUUGCUGGAAGUGCGUCCGGAGGAGACUCUAGCCGAAUGAUCGUCUAGCCAGCUGGACUGAGCGGACAACUUUCUCCCGGGAGAUCAAUCACCCUGCUCGUUUGGAAGUGAGAAAAUGGGCCAAAGUGGAUUCCAACUAAAUGGAUGAAACCUUAUGCUGAGAUUGAUAUGGAACACACUGACUGUAGUAAGCAGCAUGGCAGUGACACUGGUGAUUGAUCCACAUUGUUUAACGCCAUGGGACAGUAAGCAUGUUUGGGUGACAGUGGCUAAAGCUAUUAAUCAAACCUCUUUUUGUGUGUCUUUUAUUCUUAUGUAUUUUAUUAGGUAUAAUGUUGCUUUUGCCAUGUUUAAUUAACUGUGUUCAUAGGUUUUUGCAAAGGGCAAUACAGCACGUUGUUAAUUGUCAAAAAAAAAAACAAAAAAGGGGGAAUUGUGGACACAUAUUUAGCUAACAUCGGUCACAAGAGCAUUUCA